CGUCGGUUCCCGCGCCAGAGGGCUCGGGAUGAAAAGGGAAGCCGGUGCGGCGGCGGUCGGAUGCGUCCAGACCCCCGCCCAUCCCGGCGCUGCCCCGCAGCGGUAGGUGGAAACGAGGUCGCGCACGCACUGGGACGGUGGUCCCGGGAAGCGGCGACCGAGGCGAGGAAUCCCCGGCGCACAGCCGGUGGUUCCCGGAUCCACGAGCCCGAAGACCUGCCGACAG
rnacentral:ncRNA from 1 species